rnacentral:lncRNA from 1 species
AUUCAUUUGCUCAAAUUUCACAGUAGAUUUGUGACAGGAAGUAUUUAUUUUCUUAGCUUCUACUAACACAUAGUUUUUAAAGUUUUUCUCAUUUAUUACUUUGUACUGUACCCUUCCUCACUGAAUCAACCAAACCUGGCCCUUUAUUUCCAAAUCAAAGAUGCUCUACUGGGCCCAAAUCCAAAUUAGAAUGGUUCCAAGAAUGGAUCAGGUCAUCAAAGGAGGCCUCACAUUUUCAUUCUCUAUUAUUCCUUCAUACUUUUUCUUUUUAAUUUUCUUUCUAGAGCUGCACCUGUGGCACAUGGAAGUUCCCAGGCUAGGGAUCAAAUUGGACCUGCAGCUGAGGUCUACACAACAGCCAUAGAAACCCUGGAUCUGAGCUGAAGCUGUGACCUACACUGCAGACUGCAGCAACAUGACCCUUAACCCACUGAGCAAGCUUCCUUAAAGACCAAACUCUAUUAUCUCACUCAGAAGCUCCAGGAGAACAAUAAUUAGGAAUUCUUCCAUAAGUCUAAUAUCACAGCAAAAGAAGCAAUGCCACACUUCAGUUAGUAACCCCCUGGGACAGAUUAUAGGACAAUAAUGCUGUGGGUCAUAACACAUUAACAAUUAAGACACAGGUGGGAACCAGCCUCAACAAGAGCUCUUGGCUUUCUAUGGUCCUGGGAGUUGUUUUAGCCAAUGGACAAGUCUGGCCACACACAUUUUAACACAGAAGUGUGCUAAUCAAGAGAGUAACCACAAGCCACCUAUGGCUAUUUAAAGUGAUUAAAAUUCAUAAGAUUAAAAAUUCAGCUCCUAGACACAUUACAAGCACUCAGUAGCCAUAGGACCUAAUAGAACAUAAAUCUAUCCUGUGACUGAGCCAUGGGGACCAGCCUUCUGCACUCUUGGGGUGGGGAGGUGCAAUUCCAAGAAACUAAAGGCAGGGGUCCAGAUACUGGGGCAGCUGUGAGCCCUAUGCUGCUGACGUAGCUGGGGGAUGGACGCCCCAUCCAGUAAAGAGGACCGAUACUCCAAUACUAUCUAUACUCCAAUACUCUCUAUUGCAAAAGGCAGUGGACACUGACACUUCACUGAAUAAAGCUCAACAAAAACAUAUCAUCACAAAUACAAAACUGAGCAUUUUACUCUUUAUUAGCCUUUCUUUCUACCCUUGGGAGCCUUACUGUUCUUGACUUCCCCACCUGACUACGGAAUCCUUGAGGGUAGACGCCAGCUCUUUUUAUUCCUUCUAUCUCUACUAUCUGGCACACCUUAGGAGUUCUGAAGGUUUUCUAUGUAUAGUAUCAUGUCAUCUGCAUACAGUGACAGUUUUAUCUCUUCUCUUCCUAUUUGGACGGCAAAACUUUCCCUAAAAAAAGACAUAUGCACCCGCAUGUUCACUGCAGCUCUAUUGACAACAGCCAAGGCAUGGAAACAACCCAAAUGGCCACUAACUGAUGAUUGAAUUAGGAAGAUGUGGUAUGUAUACACAAUGGAAUGCUACUCAGCCAUAAAAAAGACUGAACGAAACAACACCAUUUGCAGCAACAUGGAUGGAACUAGAGACUCUCAUACUGAAUGAAGUAAGUCAGAAGGAGAAAGACGAAUACCACAUGAUAUCACUCAUAUCUGGUAUCUAACAUACAGCACAAAUGAAUCUUUCCACAGAAAAGAGAAUCAUGAAUUUGGAGAAUAGACUUGUGGUUGCCAAGUGGGAGGGGGAGGGAGUGGGAGGGACUGGGAGCUUGGGGUUAACAGAUGCAAACUAUUGCUCUUGGAAUGGAUUAACAAUGAGAUCCUGCUGUGUAGCACUGAGAACUGUGUCUAGAUACUUCAAACACAGCAUGACAAUGGGAGAAAAAAUUUACAUAUACUUGUAUAUGUAACUGGGUUCCCAUGCUGUAGAGUGGGGAAAAAAGUGUGUUGGGGGAAAUAACAAUAAUAAAUAAAUAAAUAAAUAAAUAAAUAUAAAUUUAAUAAUAUGCACUGGUAACUAAGGUGUAUGUAUACAAUGAUAAGUUGAUACUCUUGAUUUCAGAUGGUAUCAAAGUUAAUUUCUGAAGAUUGAGAACUCACUAGAGCUGAAAUUAAAGUCCUCUUGCUAAAACCCAAAGGAAUCACAUGACAAAUUAAAUGAGGUUUGUCUUGAGUGUAUAAUAAUUCACACACUGUGUUCUUGUCUCAUUCCUAAGUACAGUACAUUUUUGAGAAAAAAAACAUUUGAUCAAUUUAUGAUCUAUUAAUCUCUGUGUGUUGUGAGGGAGAACUUAUCUCUAAAGAUAUCAAUCAGACUUUUUUCUUUAACAAUUUUUAUAAAAUAUUUUUUUCUGAAAGGGUUGCUGGGUACAUUACAAUACCAACAAGUUAUAUAUGGUUAUUUUUCAUAUGAGAAAAAACUCAAAAUAUAUAUCUGUCCUAUGCACUAAACUAUGUUUAGUUCAAGCAUCAUUUGAUGAGAAGGUAAGGUAGA